GUUAGGAAUAUUCGUCAAUGGGGGAAACCCUGAACGAGCAAUGCCGCGUGAGUGAUGACGGUCUUUAUGAUUGUAAAACUCUGUUGUAUGGGAAGAACACUAGAUAUAGGAAAUGAUAUCUAGCUGACGGUACCAUGCCAGAAAGCCCCGGCUAACUACGUGCCAGCAGCCGCGGUAAUACGUAGGGGGCGAGCGUUAUCCGGAUUUAUUGGGCGUAAAGCGUGUGUAGGCGGUUUAUUAAGUAUAAGAUUAAAGCCUGGGGCUUAACUCCAGUUCGUCUUAUAAACUGGUAGACUUGAGUGUGGUAGAGGCAAAUGGAAUUUCUAGUGUAGCGGUAAAAUGCGUAGAUAUUAGAAGGAACACCGGUGGCGAAGGCGAUUUGCUGGGCCAUUACUGACGCUGAGACACGAAAGCGUGGGGAGCGAAUAGGAUUAGAAACCCCAGUAGUCC
rnacentral:rRNA from 1 species